CAGUCGCCGCGGGAAUACGUAGGUGGCAAGCGUUGUCCGGAAUUAUUGGGCGUAAAGCGCGCGCAGGUGGUUUAAUAAGUCUGAUGUGAAAGCCCACGGCUCAACCGUGGAGGGUCAUUGGAAACUGUUAAACUUGAGUGCAGGAGAGAAAAGUGGAAUUCCUAGUGUAGCGGUGGAAUGCGUAGAGAUUAGGAGGAACACCAGUGGCGAAGGCGGCUUUUUGGCCUGUAACUGACACUGAGGCGCGAAAGCGUGGGGAGCAAACAGGAUUAGAUACCCGCGUAGUCCCUGUCUCUUAUAA
rnacentral:rRNA from 1 species